AAGCAUAAAUUAACGAAGCUAGCAUCAGCAUAAAAAAAAACCCAUUUUCCUGCAGAUAUUUUCAAACAAAAACAAUUAGAAAUUGUCUCUUGCAAUUCUAUAGCGGGAAUAUAUAGGUGAUGUAAGCAUUUUGGUCAUUAGUGUUUGGAGUUUACUUUUCUUUAGACAUCAUUAGCAUAAACUAGCUUCCCCCGCGUUGGAUCUUCUUGUCUUUUUUUCAGCCACGCGUAAGGAAACGGUGGGAGUUUGCUAGUUGUGAUAAUGUUUUAUCAUUUUCCACUGAGAAUAGGUGCUCCACUCUGCCUUACCUGUUCUCCAGAUGCAGUAAUGAAGAUGUUUCCUCUGAGUUUCCCUGCAUCUGUGGUUUUGAGAGUCUUUUAGGGCAGAGGAACACAAUGACGUAGUGUUGUGCUUUCUUCCUUCUCCCCAUCCUGGGCCAGUUCCCAAAGAGACCUCCCGCCCCCACCCCAACAACACCACCAGCACCACUCCAACCUGGAGCUAUGCCAGACUGUGAAUGAAUGAGAAGGUCCUCACAGCCUACUAUGUUUGUUUGAUGUAGAGCACUGAGGUUUCUCUGUUUAUGUGAAAGA